CUCAGAAGUCAGAAAAGUAAAACGCCUUUGGGAAGAAGAGACUCUAAAUCAGAAGUAAUAGCAGCCCAAAGAAGAGACAAGAAAAGAGAUUUCCUUGCUUUCAUUGUUUAUGGUGGAGGAGGAGGUUUGGAGUAGAGGGAGAUUAUAAAACAGUAGUAUUGAGUUUAUUCUCACUCAGGAGAAAGUUUCUCAAACUCGACCCAAAGAAGAAAAAAGUAUCAGAAGGUCAAUGUAAAUAUCCAGAGUCCAGAAAGAUACUCCAAAGACACUGAGAUUGUGAGCUCCUGGAAUGCAAAAAGAAUGGAUGCUUAUCUUGGUGGCAUAUAAAGAUCCUAG